UGGGUUGUGGCUCAGUGGAAGAGUGCUUGCCUAGCAUGUGUGAGGUACUGAGUUCGAUUCUCAGCACCGUAU
rnacentral:tRNA from 1 species